rnacentral:rRNA from 1 species
CUACGGGGUGCACCAGUGGGGAAUAUUGGACAAUGGGGGAAGCCCUGAUCCAGCAAUGCCGCGUGUGUGAAGAAGGCCUGCGGGUUGUAAAGCACUUUCGGUUGGGAGGACUGCUUCUAGCACUAAUAUUGUUGGAAGUUGACGUUACCUUCAGAAGAAGCACCGGCUAACUCCGUGCCAGCAGCCGCGGUAAUACGGAGGGUGCAGGCGUUAAUCGGAAUUACUGGGCGUAAAGCGCGCGUAGGCGGCUAGAUCAGUCGGGUGUGAAAGCCCCGGGCUUAACCGGGGAACUGCAUCCGAUACUGUCUAGCUUGAGUACAGGAGAGGAGAGUGGAAUUCCACAUGUAGCGGUGAAAUGCGUAGAUAUGUGGAGGAACACCAAUGGCGAAGGCAGCUCUCUAGCCUGAUACUGACGCUGAGGUGCGAAAGCGUGGGGAGCAAACAGGAUUAGAUACCCCUGUAGUC